rnacentral:misc_RNA from 1 species
GGGCAUUCACUAGAGCGUAGAACGACCUCUUAGUCAUCUCCAAAUUUGCUGCAAUGGCAACAACAAAUACAAGUGCAAUUGCUAGCAUUGUCAAUGGAAAGAGAACAGAAGCUAAUUUUGAAAACUGGAAGGAAUGCAUGAAAGACUACUUGAUAGGUCAAGGCUUAUGGAGUGUAGUGAUUGGAGAGGAAGCAAAACCCAAAGAAAAUGAUCCCAACUUCAAGGAUUGGAUCAAGAAAAAUGCUAUGGCUUUACAUGCCAAUAGAACUUCUUGCGAGGAAGAUACCAUUUCAAAUUUGAUGAGAAUGUACCCCAAUCAAGUUGAUUCUGCCAAAUUUGUUUGGAAGCGCUUGGCCGAAAAGGCCUCCACACUUAAGCACUACAAGGAAGAAGAUAUAGCGCUGCGUCUGCUGAAGGAGAAGGAGUAUCGACGACUCGGUUUUAUGGAGGAUUUUAA